CCUGCCGUCUACUCUUGGCCAGCCUUCUGAAAGGAAGAUUAAUCCAGGAUGGGAUCAUGAGUUCACAUGUCCGCAUGAUUAAAGGUAUUUUCCGGUAGACGAUGGGGAUGCGUUCCAUUAGAUAGUAGGCGGGGUAACGGCCCACCUAGUCAACGAUGGAUAGGGGUUCUGAGAGGAAGGUCCCCCACAUUGGAACUGAGACACGGUCCAAACUCCUACGGGAGGCAGCAGUGAGGAAUAUUGGUCAAUGGGCGAUGGCCUGAACCAGCCAAGUAGCGUGAAGGAUGACUGCCCUAUGGGUUGUAAACUUCUUUUAUAAAGGAAUAAAGUCGGGUAUGCAUACCCGUUUGCAUGUACUUUAUGAAUAAGGAUCGGCUAACUCCGUGCCGGCAGCCGCGGUAAUACGGAGGAUCCGAGCGUUAUCCGGAUUUAUUGGGUUUAAAGGGAGCGUAGAUGGAUGUUUAAGUCAGUUGUGAAAGUUUGCGGCUCAACCGUAAAAUUGCAGUUGAUACUGGAUGUCUUGAGUGCAGUUGAGGCAGGCGGAAUUCGUGGCGUAGCGGUGAAAUGCUUAGAUAUCACGAAGAACUCCGAUUGCGAAGGCAGCCUGCUAAGCUGCAACUGACAUUGAGGCUCGAAAGUGUGGGUAUCAAACAGGAUUAGAUACCCUGGUAGUCCACACGGUAAACGAUGAAUACUCGCUGUUUGCGAUAUACGGCAAGCGGCCAAGCGAAAGCGUUAAGUAUUCCACCUGGGGAGUACG
rnacentral:rRNA from 1 species